rnacentral:snRNA from 1 species
GAUUGGUUACUCUUUCAGUAUUUAUCUAGGAGGUUUCUCAUAAAGAGAAGCCCAC